UGCCUCGACAAUGAAUACACAUUGCAUCUUUAUAUUGCUAUUGUAUCCUCGAAGCCUUCUUGCGGAGUUUGAUCUCUAUUCGCGUUUGGCUCGUUUAGAAGUCACAGUGUCAUCACUUUUGAAAACAGAUGCAGAACAGACAGAGACUAUCAGGCUUCAAGAGGUGAAGAUGAAAGAACAGUCAGAAGAAAUAAAAGAACUGAAACGGAUUAUUCACGACAUUCAGACAGAUGAAAGCUUAACGCCAGUGAAACUCAUGACACCCAAACAUGAUUCAUUGGCACAACAGCAACGAAUUCACAACAAUUAUACCGGUGAUCAUAAAUCAACAAUGAAAUUGUUAGCACAGGAAAUUGAUUGAUCUGCCAGGACAACUAAUGAAACUAUUGCCAACAACGUUCAACGAACUGCACGUCAAGGUAUGGUCGUAAGUCCAGUUGCCUUUACUGCAGUAAAAGUUAUCAAGCAAGAUGGUAUCGGAGUUAAUCAAAACAUCGAUUUCGAAAGUGUUUUCUCAACGACGGAGGUGGCUACCACACAAACUACGGGAUCUUUAUUGCUCCAGUGAGCAGAUAUUAUUUGUCCACAACGUCAUUUUUGAUCUCGACGCAAGGUAUUCGAGUUGACUUGAUUCAA